UUGCAUUCCUUGUUCUGCGAUGUUUUCUACGCGCGACGAUGAAAUUUCUCCACGCAGUACGCGUCUCUACUUAGAACUAUUUUCAGCGUGACAGUUUUUGUAUUUUCUUGUAGCCUGGGAACACCGUUCAAUUGGUGCGACAGAAACUUAUGCAGCUUCCGUCUCACGCAUUGUAUGGAAACGGUUGAAUACCGCUUGUAGUUACUUUCUUGCCAUAGAGUUGAACUAGUAAAAGGUGCCCAUGCUGCGAGUGCAGUCGUAACGCUUUGACGUUGGAUCCGAGCCCAUGGAGAAAGUUGGAGCUGUAGAGCUGUAUGUUUUUGGACAAAGUCACCAAUUCCAUUGCUCUUCCUAUGCCAAGUGGCCAGGAUAAUGGUUGAAAUUGCUACAAUAAAGGUUAUGAUCAACAACAUUUGUUGAAAUUUCGCAUUUACUUUUGGAAGCGCAGUAUAACGCAUUCCAUGCAACAUUACUAAUGAAAAUGAGUCGACUUAAAAUGCUCAUGUUGUCUGGAGCGCAAUGGAUUAAGCGAGUGCCAUGUCGGAAUAAACAGCAUUAACUAAUUCUUUGGACAAAAGAACACCGAUUUUGCUGAUAUGAAAAAUUCUUGUACACGGGGUGAUGCUGGAGCUGUUUUGACAAGCGUACUUGUCGUCUUCGUGGCUGCAACUUUGAGACAAGUCUUGUCGAAAUGUUGGCUCCAGUGACACCCUAGUCAAAGCGUUGUACCAUGCCAGCAUUUCACA